AGUUCUACUUAACCUUCUCAUGAGAUUCUUAGAGGCCAUGUAUUCAUGUCUAUUUUUUUUAUUUUCUUUACCAACUACUUAUUCUUUAUGAUUCUGAGCUAGGAAAUAUGAUCACUAUCCUCUCAGAAGCUGGACUGUCUUGUUGCGUGAACACGUGUAACACUUUAUAUUUUCCUCCUGUAAACAUUUUAUUUCUUGUUUCGUGAAUCCUUCAAAGUGGCUUAUAUGCCAGGAAAGAUGGUCAAAAUGAGGAAUUGAAUACCACUAAAAUAAUGAGCACAGGAGCUUUGAAAUGAUCUCUGUUUUGUCAUCAAUGUUUAACAUAAAAGUGGAAACCAACACAAGCAGUUAGGGAAUGUGCAGGAAAAUUCUCUGGUGUGGUGUACAGUUUCUUUUCUUCUACUGGAUUCAUAUCUACUUUCUGCUGUUCAGAGAAGGAGAGUCCAAAAGUCCAUGUCCCCAUUCAAAUGAAAAUAAAAUAAAAGUAUAUAUAUAUAUAUAUUCCAGUAUUUUUACACUUCAAUCAUGCGAUUUUUUUGUAUAAAAACAAUGAAAUAUUUGUGGUUUUGCAGUGUGUUACUUCAGUCGAUAAAAAUAGUUUUCCCUAGCAUGUUUGAAUUCUGCCCGGAAAUAAUGAAGGUUCACAGAAUGAUAGAUUCUCUUCCUAGUUCGAAGCAUCUUGCCUUUUUUCCUGUGGUUUAUACCGUUGUAAUUCUUUCCUUUGUUAGCUUUCUACAUGGAUGGUUGGUGGGCGACAACUGCCACGACUAGUAUAUUUAUUGCAGCUGCCAUUACAGAUUGGCUUGAUGGUUACAUUGCUCGAAAGGUACGGACUGGCAUCUAUUUAAGUUAUUGUUCUUGGACUGUAUUCAAUUACUUCUUCAUUCAAAUUAACAAAGCUCUGAUGUGUUAUUUAAUGCAGUCAAAUGUUACCAUUCAUUAACUCGUUUGCAUUGUCAGAUGCGCUUGGGAACAGCAUUUGGUGCAUUUUUGGACCCUGUAGCCGAUAAGGUUUGAAUUAUUUUUCGUGAACUUAUCCUUUUGUGCAGCCCACUCUGACUCUAACAUUGACAAUUGCGUGUGAUUGGGAUGUUUGAGAUAGAAAGUUAUUUAAGUGUUCUUCUUAUUAUCCCUGAUUAAUUGUAGCUUAUGGUUGCUGCUGCUUUGGUUCUCUUGUGCACCAAACCUUUGGAAGCUGCUCUAUUUGGUCAAGCACCGUGGCUCCUGACUUUACCUUCAAUUGCCAUCAUUGGGAGAGAGGUAACUGCCGAUUUAUGCCCCUUUCCCCCCCUUAAUAUGCCCUUUAUUUUCAUGAAUAAAAUAUUUCCAGUUUUUUAUUUUCUCUCCAUUUCAAUUAUUUAUUGGCAUGAAUUUUUCUGCAAUAUGCAAUGUCGAAUAUGGUGUCCACAUCUUUAGAAAAUGCCAAUGUCAGUAGGGCGUCCAAUAGUCGAGCUGAAUGACAGCUAAAUUGCGUUGCCUAGUUCACAUAGAAAGAAAACGGAAAAACUGAUUUUGAGAUUUCACUUGCGAUUUUUUGAGCUGAUCCUUAAUUUGGCAGUUGCUGGCCAGAAACAGGACGGGCCACAUGCAGAUAAAGCCGAACCAUGAUAAGAUCUGUUUCAUUGUCUGGCUGAUUCCAGAACUGAUCAUGGUCAUUUUUAGCCUGUCUGAUUCAAGAAACCCAUUUGGCUUUUCCUUCUAUUCUGGGCUUUGCGUUGCAGGAGUAGAAAGCAUGACGCUUUCUGUAGAGAUGCAAACAAAAAAUUUAUUGGGACGGCAGAAUCUAAAAAUAUAAGUUUCAAUCGAUUAUAUAAGCCAGAGGUAUAUCUAAAAAUAUACCCAUUCUCGUCCUGGUGGUAUUUUUUUUUUCCAGCUCGAUCCUGUCGACGCAUAAACAAAAGUCUAUUAAUUUUUACGUCACUAGUUAUUCAACAUGUCUGGGUCCUCAUUACAUGACCUAGAUUUCAAACUUAUCAUGAUAACGUCAGAAAAUCGUAGGAUGACAGGUCAUAUGCGCCUCCCUCCUCGUCUAUUUAUGUAUAGAGAGGAGAAGGGGAUUUGUACAGUAUGGGCCUAAUAUGAUACAUAAUUCUUCACUGGGUGAAGGGUUUAUUUAAUCCCUUUUUCCGAGGCCCCUUUAUUGGCUUUAUUGAGGCCCAUUUCUACGAUUUCAGCGCUCAAAAAACUAUUAGCACUCUCUGAUGAUCCAUUUUUCUUGUAGAUAACCAUGUCUGCAGUUAGGGAAUGGGCUGCAUCUCAGAACAGCGGAGUUCUUGAGGUUUCCUUCCAUUCCUGUCUCUGAAGAGGACCCAUCGAAAGCCUCCCUCCUUCAGACAUCUUAAACCAUCUGCCUAUUUGCAUCAGGCUGUUGCUGUAAACAAUCUGGGGAAGUGGAAGACGGCGACCCAGAUGACCGCACUGACCAUUCUUCUGGCUUCCAGGGACUCCAGGUUCCUCUCAAGCGGCGCUUAAUCUCUCAUUCGAGCCCUCUUGCUCCUUUGGCACUUAAUAAUUAUGUUGUCUUGUGGGCAGUCUGGCGGGCCAAAGCCUCAUGGUUGCCUGUGGCGUGACCCUUCUCAACAUCUCUGCGGCCCUUGCGGUCUGGUCACUGGCCGUCUACAUGAGGAAAAUAUGGCGAGUAUUGAUGAAGUGACCGCCCACAGUUGGGGAAGAGCUAUAGAUGAGAUCGAGGUAGCUCCUUCAUGGCGGCCACCACUGGGCGGCUGGCUGGGGCUUCAGCUUCAUGGUGGCCGGCGUCCAUCCGGGUCUGAGAGAAGCUUCUGAAAGGGAUGUGGAUGGAGCUGGUUUCCUCUUCUUCUUCAUCAUCAUUUAGAUGUGGUUACUCCUCCUCCAGGAUGAGCUCUCUGGGAGUAAAAUGGUCCGCAGAGGAGGACCUCCCCACUUGCUCCUACCAGCUCUCCUGCUGCCAAGCCCUGCUCUCUCUCUCUCUCUCUCUCUCUCUCUCUCUCUCUCUCUCUCUCUCUCUCUCUCUUUCUCUCUCUAUCGAUCGAGUGAGUAUCGUUUGUCAAGUGGGGAUAUAUAAGGCUCGAUCGAUGGCCCAGGAGCAGGAUUUUCUAUAUUAUUGUUCCUUCCUGGACUGCGACUGCAGGUAGUCCACAUGGGAGGAAAAUAUCUGACAACUAUGAAUAAAUGUCAACAGAGUACCCUUUUCUUCAUGUGAGAUAAAGUCCCUCUUUUUUUUUUUAUAUAUAAGUUGGCUCUUGAGAUUCUCUUGGGGUUAGAUAAGGGUAUUAUUGUCUUUUCAUAUUUGCGAUGGGACUGGGACUAGUUGGGCCCCCUUUUUAUGGGCCCCUGUAUUAUAUACAGGUAUAAAUGGGCCGUAUUGGGCCGAGAAGUUGUCUGGCCCAGCCUGAGUCCAAAGGUCAAUUAUACGACGUGUUAGAGAGAGAGAGAGAGAGAGAGAGGAGGUGGCUUGGGUUAGCUUGUCUGAACAACAAUCAAAAAGUAAGGAAGGAGGCGUGAAAUUUUUGCUAAAAAGGGGAGAAAAGUUGCAGGGCAGAGAGAGAGAGAGAGAGAGAGAGAGAGAGAGAGCANNNNNNNNNNNNNNNNNNNNNNNNNNNNNNNNNNNNNNNNNNNNNNNNNNNNNNNNNNNNNNNNNNNNNNNNNNNNNNNNNNNNNNNNNNNNNNNNNNNNNNNNNNNNNNNNNNNNNNNNNNNNNNNNNNNNNNNNNNNNNNNNNNNNNNNNNNNNNNNNNNNNNNNNNNNNNNNNNNNNNNNNNNNNNNNNNNNNNNNNNNNNNNNNNNNNNNNNNNNNNNNNNNNNNNNNNNNNNNNNNNNNNNNNNNNNNNNNNNNNNNNGAGAGAGAGAGAGAGAGAGAGAGAGAGAGAGAGAGAGAGCACGAAGAGAAGGGAUGGGAUGGAGGGGUCGAGAGCUAUAUGUACUCUUCCUUCUUCCAGAACAGAAGCCGCGAAGAUUUUAUAUACAGCAAGAGCGGAGGCGGAUUGGGCGAGAUCCCCCAAAAAAAAAGAAUGGAUUUUUUUUUCCUUCCCUCGGCCCUCAGAAUAACAGGCUCGUGCUGACGAGACCAGGGGGCCUCUCCCUGGCAGCCCCAAACCCCUCGUCCUCGAAGUCCUCGUUCGUGGAGUUCUCCCUGCAGACCAUCCUCUCCUCCGCCACCGCGGGCCCCACGCCGAGCACCUCCCACCCCAUCGGGUGCCCCUCGCCGGCGGCGGCGGCGCCCUUCUCGAUCGACUCUAUCAGCGGCGCCAGGCUCUCGUCCAUGUUCUCCCCCAUCUCGUCCUGGAACAGCGGGGGCGGCGAGAACUCGUCGAACCCGGCGGCGAGCUCGCCGGCGGCGGCGGCGCCGUGGUCUCCUCUCCUGGGCCGCUUCCACUUCUUCUUGGAGGCCGUGGCGUCGUCUUCAAAGUCCUCCUCCUCCCUGUCCCUGUGGAGAUACACCCAGAGCUUCCUCUCGCCGUCGUACUGCACGCAGGGGUCCUGCUCGUAGUGCAGCCGGUCGAGGGCGCCGCUGACGACGGAGUUGAUCUUCCCGUCGGGGACGUCCUCCACGAGGAACUGCGAGUCCCUCAUUAGCGUGGAGACGUCCGCCCUCGUGCCGAUGCUGCCGGGGAGCCUGGCGGCGGCGUCGCGAACCAGGCAGAGGAUGGUGACGUGCGGCGGCCGGUCCUGCUUCAGCAUGAAGUGGUCCCUGGCUUUGGAGGUGGGUUUUCCGCCGCCCCUCCUCAGCGGCGCCACGGUGGAUUUACGGCCGUCGGCGGCGGUGUAGGAGAAGGCUCUGUCGGGGACGGAGUAGCGGAGGAGCUCCUCUUGCCGGAAGUAGGCCCUCGCCUCGUCGGAGCUGGAGCUGAUGGUGACGAGGCUCUUCUGGGCUCUGAGGUCUUUGAACCUCUCCUUCUCGUCCAGAUUCGGCGGCGGCAGGGCCGGCGGCGCUGGUAAGCUUCCGAUCUGCUUGAGCGUCUCCUGCCCGCUCUUGAGCCAGUUGGCGAAGGCGUCCACCAGCUUGACCAGCAUCUUGUGGGGGAUUCCCCACGCCUCCGAUGAGGUCUCCUCCUCUGCGGCGGCGGCGGCGGCGGUGGCGGGGGGGCCGAUCCAGGACCAGCUCUUGGUGGGUUUCUCGUAGAAGACGAGGGGCUUCCAGGCCUUUGCUCCAAGCGGCGCCGUCUUGGAGGAGAGGAUUUUGAGGACCCCUCUGACGAGAUCUUGCAAGGGCUCCUGGGUCUCGAGAAUGCAGGGGUCACCUGGGUUGGUUCUCACUCGGGCGACGAUUUCCUGGACGGUGAGGGAAGGCAGGUUCUUGGGCUCGUCCUCGUCCAUGUCCUCUGCGCUGGUGCUGAUCAUGGCCUUGCGGAUGGCAGAGAGGAGAUGGACGACGGAGAAGGAGAACCCGGUAUGCACCGAGGGAGUGAUCAGGGUGAAUGGCUUCUUCACGGGCGACGGUUCUGGCUCUGCCUGCGACGGGUCCUCCUCCGCCAUGCCGGCCCCCGCCGCUUCGGAAGAUGCCAGAGACAGAGAACCGGCUGCAGAGAGGGCCUUCCUCUUCCUCUUCUUCUUCUUCCGACCGGGAUCAUCAUUGGCGCGCCCCUUGGUAGCUUCUUCAGGCGGAUUAGCAUGAUCAUCAUCACCGGCCCUCUUUCUCCUCCUCUUCGUCGCUGAGUUGCAUCCUGCGAGGGUCACGUUUGAUUUCCCGUUGUAAUCGAGCCCCGGCCCGAUGCUUUCAUCUGCAUUGUUCUCCCGAGCUUGCCCAACAUCCGUUGACCUGAGGCCUCCAUCCACCAGUCCCUCAUCCGCAGGGCCAUCUUCAUGGUCAACGAGGCCAAGGUUUUCCUCAGAGACAGCGUAGUGAGAACCCACCACAGCCGUCUUCCCCUCUGGCUCCACAGAGAGCAUAUCUGGCAUUAUUGCUGGUCCAAGUCCAUCUCCACGGCCGCCCUGCAACUUCCUCCUCUUGGUCAGCUUGCGACCAGCCGGCAGAUCACGCGACAACUUGCCCGAUGCGGGCAAGCUCUCAGCAGCCCCGUCCAGAUUAUUGCUAUAUUUCCCAUUUAAUGACGCAUCUGUCUCGGGCACGAUUGUCGCAGCAGCUUGAUCCGGAUAUGGGCUCUGCUUCCUCCUGUUCUUAUUCACAUUCUUCUUGAUUUUACUGCCGCUGGAUGUGACUUCCACAGCCUUUGACUCACCAUUGGCCAGGAGGCCAACUGGACGUCUUGAUUUCUUCUUCUUCACAGGAUUCAGAUACACAUCAUCCUCGCCCUGCUUCGAUGAAUCAGAUCCUGGUUCUUCAGAUAAUUUUUUUACUGCCCUCGUGGGAGUUUCUGCUCUGCCACCGGAGAGAGGAUGCUGUUCGUCCAUAUGUGGGAGGAGAGGUCUGCGAGCCUUGAUUUUGGGACCACUUUCUCCCCUCCGAUUCUUGGUUUUAGUUCUCAGGUCAUGGCCCACGCUCAGGGCUUCAGCAUGGGGUUGACUUUCACUAUAAGACUCCCUUCCAGCCAACUGGGUUGGCCGAUCCCCUCGCGGCACCGACCUCUGAGGAUAUCCAUGGGUGCCCUUGUCCGGAGAAUCCCAAGAAUGCUGUUCAUAAGGACGCAGUGCUUCCAGUGGUUCAUCAUAAACUGGCUGCCGGGCGCCCCUCUUGUGCUUUCCAAGGGAGAUCGCCUCCUUCCCCAGCUUCUGGGAACCUCUACUCCUCUUCUGUACGGGCAUUUCGAGCAACUGUUCUUCUGCAUGAUCAUCAUCAGCAUAGUUCUUCUGGGUCCUCCCCCUCCGGGCAGCUCCAGAGUCAAACCCCACUGCAGCGUCCUUCCUGGGAAUGGCGAAUGGUGAAGCAGAGGGCCUGUGUUUUGCUCCCGGACGGCGGGUGAAUGAUUGAGGCUUGGUCGCUUCCAGGGCCAUGCCACUUCCGGCAGGCUUCAACAGUUGCAUAGGGUGCCGACUCUUCUUGUUCCAGUGGCCAAUAGGGUAGAGAUCAUUCUCCGAGUCAGUCGCUGAGUCCCUGCUGAGACUCUUCGAGUGGCCCAUAGGCCUCUGACUCCUGAGUAUGUUCAGUAGCCGAAGCCUCUCCUCGAUGCCAUAGCCUGCGUAAUUCUCCCACGCAUUCCUCAUCCGGACGAGACUGUCAACCAUGGAAUUCUGGUACUUUUGCAGCUGAUGGUAGUGCUCGCUCCUUUGGAAAAAGGUCAAGCACCGGCGAUGGAGAUCAACCUUGGGUUCACACAGUCCACCCUUCAACCGGCUGUAAAGCUCGGAGAGCGGGCUGCCAAAAUGGAAGUUGCUGCCAGAGAGAAGCUCCCUAAUCGUCUGAGAGUACGUCUCCUGGUCCAUAUCAGGGAGGUACUCCGCCAGGGAGAACCGCUCGUCCUCCGUGAGGCAGUUGUUCCAUGAAUCCAGGGACAGGAUUGAACUGAGAUCUGGAAGAUCAUACAAUUCCAACGGGACAAGGAAAUUCUGGUUCCCGACCUGGCAAUACUCGGCACCGACCUCUCCAAGCUCGGACAUGUCAUAGUUGUCGGAUCCCAUCCCAGAGUCCACCUCCGAUCCUUCUGUAUUUUCUGAUUCCGACUCCGGCCUGUGAGACUGGAGUUCGUCGUCGUCGUCCUGACUGGAAACACCAUCUCCAAUUGGCGCCAAGACAUCACCGUCUAAUCUCGAGGCCCUAGAGUUAUUCUUCGUAAUUGCCAUGGAAACGAGAUGAGCUAUCAAGGAACUAUCUCAAUCUCGAACCAGAUGGAUAAUGGCUAAGCACCUGUAAUGCAACGACGGAGGCGAACCUUAGAAUGGAGAAAAAAAACAGCCGAAAUAGGGUAAAAAAGAAGAGAAAGGCCAGGCUGUAGAACAAGCCACAAAAACCCUAAUCGCAGAUCGACGGGCAGGAAGAGAGAAGAACAAAGCCUUACCUCAACAAUACGCUCCGAAGACCAGGCCUCCGAAUCGGGAAUCCACAGCAGAGAUCGGACCUCGGCGUGGGCGCCCUCCCCCUACCCCCGCACCGCGCAGACGAGGCGAAAGAACCGCGGGAACCCUACGUUGGGAGCGGGGGGAGGAGAACCAGUCAAUAAAUAGCACCGACGAUGGAGCAAGGAAGACGACGACGACGUGGGCGCGUUCGGGUCGUCCGAUGGGCAGAUGUGGCGGCAGAUAGAUACAAAGAGGGAGGGGGGAGGAAGACGGCCGGGGAGGAGAGAGUCGAAUGGGGGGAGGAAGAGGGACGAAGGGAGGGAGGAGGAAGAAGGGGAAAUAAGAGAGAAGAAGAGGGGCAAAUUGCGGGAGAGGAAAUAGGUCGGCGGUGGAGGAGGAGGAGACCAGGCGGCGUGUACUUUCUCGCAGAUCGACGGCCGCCGGUGGGAAGAGAGAGAGAGAGAGAGAGAGAGAGAGAGGAAGGGGGCGCAGGAUAAGGGAGAGGAAGGAGAGAGAUUACGUGGGGAGGGGGAGGGCAUGGUUGCAGGGAAACCCUAGGCGGCCACAGAUAGCGCUGAGGCUGUCACUGGCAGAGAAGGGGAUCUCGGGGAGCGGCGCAUUUUAGCCUGACGGCGGGAGGAGGGGGCGGGGACGGAGAGGGAAAGGGAUAUCCGGAGAGAGGCGCAUUUUAGCCUGACGGCGGAAGGGGGUGGCGGCGGGGGAGGAGGCGGUUCCCGACGAUUAGGAAGCCCCGCCGGCACCGCGAUAUUUCGUGGCGUUACCGUUCAUCUGAUCUACCUUCCAGUGUCCCGAUCUGGGUGGUGUCCCAGACUGACACCUGUCAGUCAACACCCUUCGUUAAUGGGGAGCCCCAAUACUACGAAGGAACCGGACAAACAGGACCCGCGCCUGUACCUGUUCGCACCUCGAAACUGACAUGUGUCGAAGAUCCAUGGAACCCAACUCUCGCACGUGACACCCCAGCGUCUCAGAUAGAUUAUCCACCCAAUAAUUAUUUUCAACUGUUAAUUUCCAAAUAUCAUUUGUGCUAAUCAUGCAAAUAGAUUAUACACCCAAUAAUUCUCAAUUGACAGUAAUCGUCUCUCCCUCCCUCCCUCUCUCUCUCUCUCUCUCUCUCUCUCUCUCUCUCUCUCUCNNNNNNNNNNNNNNNNNNNNNNNNNNNNNNNNNNNNNNNNNNNNNNNNNNNNNNNNNNNNNNNNNNNNNNNNNNNNNNNNNNNNNNNNNNNNNNNNNNNNNNNNNNNNNNNNNNNNNNNNNNNNNNNNNNNNNNNNNNNNNNNNNNNNNNNNNNNNNNNNNNNNNNNNNNNNNNNNNNNNNNNNNNNNNNNNNNNNNNNNNNNNNNNNNNNNNNNNNNNNNNNNNNNNNNNNNNNNNNNNNNNNNNNNNNNNNNNNNNNNNNNNNNNNNNNNNNNNNNNNNNNNNNNNNNNNNNNNNNNNNNNNNNNNNNNNNNNNNNNNNNNNNNNNNNNNNNNNNNNNNNNNNNNNNNNNNNNNNNNNNNNNNNNNNNNNNNNNNNNNNNNNNNNNNNNNNNNNNNNNNNNNNNNNNNNNNNNNNNNNNNNNNNNNNNNNNNNNNNNNNNNNNNNNNNNNNNNNNNNNUCUCUCCUCCCUCCCUCCCUCUCUCUCUCUCUCUCUCUCUCUCUCCUCUCUCUGGGUCGUAUAAGCGAAGCGAGGCGACUUUAUCAGAAUUUUUCCCUAAUUGGGCCUCUGACGGCUCGGUCAACUAUGCAGCCAAAUCAAACCCGGAUGGCCGGGUUAUCUGAGAUAAAAAGUCAGAGAACCCACCUAUUCCAGUUCUAACCCGAUGUCAACCCACUACCAAGGGAAUAUAAUGGUUAUGAGAGGGAGAUAUUUAGCAGCGAGAUGCUCUCCUACCUCGAGAAUCCAGUCUCGUUGACUAACGACACGUCAACCAAUCGGAUCCUUGGCCGUUUCUAGAGCACUUGCCUGCAUAUUCCUCUGACUUUUCUUGUUCGAGCCUCCUUUCUUGGUCCUCCGACGGCCACUCGCCGCAACUGGGCUACGACUUUCUGGGAAAAAACCCACCUUGGUUGACUGAAGCUGGCGCACCGUCCGGUCAACGCCCUUCGGUUCCCUUGAUUCCGCAGGCCCUCCUCCUAGCUUCCCACGGUGCCAGACGUUGAGGAACAACGCCUCCAACGGGACGGACACAUCAAGCGGCAGCAGCACCUCCUCCAGCUCGUCCUGAUCGAGGUCCUCGAAGUCGCCGUCCUCAUAGACCACUCUGUACCACUUCAUCUCCGAGUCAAAGUCAACCACCUUGCCCCAAUAAAAUCUGUCACCGAACAGCUUAUACACCUCUCUUCCUUCGAACCAUCUGCCGAAAUACGGCUCGUGGGGUGCUUCUCGGUCAUUCAUGGCGCUCGGUGGAGUGGGAGGGGAUCCAUUGGUGGGCAUUUCUGGCAGCCCGUUGAUGCAGACGGCCGGCUCUCCGACCACUUGGAACACAGACGAAGACGAUGAUUCCGCCUCCCCCAUUUCAGAGCUUCUUUCUUGCAUGAUAAGUGGCCACCGAAUGGACCGUGGAGUCACUGUGGAUGGCAUGUUUGACUUUUGAGUAUGAUCGUCGUCGUCAAAUCACGGUGCAGGCCAUCAAUGCAGGUCAACGAAGUAAAUGUAAAUAUUUCAAGUAAAAAGAAAACACCUGAGGUGGAAGAAUGAGAAAAAACUGCAGGAUUCUUGAUGAACUAAAAUCACGAAAAUGGGGUGGAAAAACAUGAAUAAAUAUUUUAAACAACAAAAUUCAUAAUAAGAUGCUCUUGAAAGCGCGUGUUUGAAUAAAUUUGAAGCACAAAGGCGAUAAUCAGAACACAGAUGAAGAACAGAGAAACUGAUCCUCAAAGUAGGAGAAAUCCGUCGUACAAAAACAGUGAAAAUUUUUGAUCUUUAAUGAAAUGGCUACACAGAUUCGGCAUCCAUCCAUCUCCUCCUCACUAUCAUCUCACUCAAAACGUUUCAUUGAUAGAAAUCAGACUCUAUACAGUAAAAAAACCUGGCAGAAUCUACAGACACACAGCGUAAAGUAUAACAUUCAAACAGCCAGAUAGAGUCUUAACCAUCUGAAAGUAGAUCAAACCAUGCCCUGUCGUGUCCCUAGCCACGAAGAAAUAAAUGCUAAUCCCAGCAUUAAAUUGGUCCCAGGUUCAUCCGAAUCUCCUAGUUUUCAGAAUAAUAUGUCCUAAUCUAAGCAGUUUUAACACAGCUAAAGUGCUAAAUUGAUUAAGUAAUGUUAUUAGUGCGUAACUGUACUGAGCCUAGAGCAGAUAGGAGUGAUUCUGCCCGAGGGAAGCUGUUUCCAGGAAUAUACCUCCCCCUUUCUAUUUCCUGUGUUCUAAUUAUAAAAAAUCGUAGCGUGAAGAUCAAGAAAUAAAGAUUAAAAACAUUACGAUUACUCAAAAUUUUCGAGAAAUCUUAACGCGAGUUUAAUCGACGAUCUGUUCGUCGCACCGGCUGUAUAUAUUAUAGAUCAUCAGGUCGAACAUCAAAGCCUGGAUUGCGAAUGGGAAGUCAUAAUGGUUAAAAACAUUAUGAAUCCAAGCUUCGAAGUUCAACCUGAUAAUCUAUAAUAGAUACAGUCGGCGCGAUGAACAGAUCGCCGAUUAAAUCUAACGAGAAUCGAAAUAAAACGCGAGGACUGCACACUGAAGGUCAAAUUAUCAGAGUCUUAUGAGAAAGCAGCAGCGAAUAACGAAAGAUCGCCGCCUUACGCUGAUAGCGGAGGCGAUUGAACAGCCAGAAGCGCCCUCAUGUGGAGGCCUCCGUCCACCGAUGAGCAUAGGUAUCCGACAAACAGAAACAUAACGAUGCGAAGUGGUAAAUAGCGAUGAGAGGGCAGCAACCUAAGAAAAGGUCAUAUUAGCGAGGAGGAAAUGCACAGAAAAAUCCGCAGAAAUCUCCAACAGGUAUUAAACCUUCUUCGGCACGGCAGACUGCAGAGAGAGAGAGAGAGAGAGUUAGGGCUUCAUGGAUUACUGACCUUUGUCAUCUGAUGCAAUCGCACUGUAGAUAUGAUCCUGAAUACCUUACAACGAGUGGAAACCAGGAAGGGCCAAUAUCUGCCCGAGAAGAAAGCUUCGCCUGAGGAGGGUAGAGCCUCCGGUUACGACUGCGUCGGAGGCGGAGGCGGCGGCGGCGACGAACCAGGGGCGGCGAGCGGUAAAGCGUUUGGAUCUGUAACAGCUUCCCACCCUCCGUUCCAAAUACAGGUCGGCCCAUUAUAAAGUGGGCCUAAACGGCCCACCAGUUAUAACGGGCCCAUUAAAUUUAAUGGGCCAACCAGUAUUGUUAAACUCAUUAUCACUUCCUGAAACUCGGCCCAUUCUAGGCUAUCCGUUUUUCCCGGACGUGUCCACUCGAGUGGAUGCUUACCUGGCAAUGAAUUCGCUUGCCACGUGUAUCGAUCUGGCCCAUUUCCCCGAACUCGGACCCAGCUGGAGAUGACGUGGUUAGAUUUCUCUCAUCUACCCGUUAUUUUCUCAAAUAUAUUAGGAUAUAAAUAAUCGUCGACGAAAAUCGGACCGAUUAAUACAUAUUUUAAUAAUUUAAACUAUAUCGGAUUGAAUUUUUAAAAUUAUAGAUGGAUUGAUUACGUCUGAAAAUGUUGGUCGGAAGAGAUCGUCGGUGGCGGAUUCUGUCUUCCCCGCAGGAUCAUGUCUCCGCCCAAAAUCGUCGAGCCUCGCAGAGCCUGCCGCUCGGGUUCCGAGAGCCUCCUCUCUCUCUCUCUCUCUCUCUCUCUCUCUCUCUCUNNNNNNNNNNNNNNNNNNNNCUCUCUCUCUCUCUCUCUCUCUCUCUCUCUCUCUCACUCACUCGCAAUCUGUCUGUUCCUAUCUGAGAUAUAGAUCUAUCUUCUCCAUUUCCAUCUCUAAAAUAGUAGGAAUGCCUCAGGCUCCUUCGACAAGGUGGUGCCCGACACCAGAGCAGCUGAUGAUGCUGGAGGAGAUGUAUAGGGGCGGCCUCAGGACUCCAAAUGCCUUGCAGAUACAGAGCAUAACUGCCCAUCUUUCAUACUAUGGGAAGAUAGAGGGUAAGAACGUGUUCUACUGGUUCCAGAACCACAAGGCAAGGGACAGGCAGAAGCUCCGGAAGAGGCUCAACAGACACUACCAGAUGCUUCCACAGCAGCACCAUCUCGCCCAACAGCCCUCUCCUACUCACCACCAGCUAGAGGCGUCCAACGCAUUUCUGCGCCAGUCUCCCCCCCAGUUUCUUCAGCAGGUCUUCAUCGCUCUCUCUCUCUCUCUCUCUCUCUCUCUAUCACUAUCUUGUUUGAUGACAGAUAUGACACUACGCAGUCCGUUAUUUUAGGGUAUUACCCAUCUUGCGUCUUCUGUCCAUCUUUGGAGAUUUUUCGAGUUAUCUGUCAAUAUAAAGCGGUGGAAAGGGAUUUUAGGGUUUCAGUUGCCCGGUAAAAUGUUGCGCUUUCUAAUAGUCCGCACGAACUUCUUCUGUUUUCCUCUCCAUCUUUUUCUUCUUCUUCUUCAUCUUCUUCGUCAUUGUGGACAUGGGUAAAUUUCCUAUGUAUUCUUUGCUGGAUGCGUAGGGUCUCCGCGAGGAAGUAGUUGAGGCGAUGAGCCUGAUUAGCAAGCAUGGGAGGUUCGAGAGAGAGGAAGAGCAGCAAAGGUUAGAGGAGACGAGCCCCACGGCAUCUGGGUACGAGUGGAGGAUGCUGACGGGAGCAAGUACGGGAGCUCCCUCUUCUUGCAAGCCUCUGAGAACCUUGGAGCUUUUCCCCACCGGAAUAACUGGCCUCAGAGGAGACUGUAUCUGCUCCAAGUCCUCUUCCUGCUCGGCGUCGACUAAGUAGAUGCAGCAUGCGGAUGCCAUAGCUCGAUGUACUCUCUCUCUCUCUCUCUGAGGAGCAAGUGCAUUCAGCCAUGUGAUUGGAGACUCUCCUUUUCGAGCUGUCUAUCUAAAUGCAGAAUUAGAUAGAGAUAUUUUCUCUUUAGUUGAAGAAAUCAAUCAACGCAGAACAACUCUCUCUCUCUCUCUCUCUCUGCGGGGCGUUAAAUUUCUCUGUCGUCUACGCCAAAUAUUUUAAAUGGCUGUCUUCAUCUGCUAACCCUCUACAUUUUUCUGCUCAUCUCGUUUCCGCUGUCAGACCUCCAAAGGCUGACAUGGAAGCCGAUAAUUCUGCCGACCAACGACAGAAAGACUGGCAAUUCAGGUCAACUGGAUUUCCGACAAACACCAUAACCCAGUUGGCAGCGCAUGAGCCGCCUUGUUAACAUCCCCAGUCUUUCCUUUUAUGGCAGUGCUAUAUGCUCUUUGAACCCUAAGAUGGUCCAACGAGGGAAGAACGAAUAGCUUGUCUUAGAGGAUCGCCAUAUCCUUAUCCGUAUCUGCCCAGUACUUGGAUAUCUUGUCCAUACCCUAGUUUGUAAUAACUUCCCCAAUAGAGGAGAAGCGAAAGAAAGACACGAAAGGGGAAUAGGGUGAAGAGAGAGAGAGAGAGAGAGAGAGAGAGAGAGAGAGACGCAUGAAUAGUGUUUUUUUUGAGUCGAGUGAAAACGGAGCUGAUGCUGAAACAGAAAGGUGUGACCUGCCAAGAGAUAAAAUCGUGUUCCGUCUUGGACAUCGAGAACCCGUAAAUUUUAUCAACCAGUACAUUCGUCUCGGAUCUCCUGUCUUCUCGACCAUCCAUCAGCCAGAAGCUCUCUCUCCAUCUGUCAUCUUCAACCUCCAUGGAUUCCAUCUCCUACGGUUAUUCCAGAGAGCUAGAGAGAGAGAGAGAGAGCGCUUCAUUCUCUCUGCUUCUAAUCGGGGAGAGUUAAUGCCCGUCCCCUUCGUUCCUCCUUCCCACCAUUCCACACUGCUGACUCAAGUCUCCAUAAGAGAUUUCAGACGCAGAGCAGGAGCAGCAGGACUUGUAGAAUCAGUCUUUAUUAUACCCUCAGACUAGUCAACACGAGGGGAAAGGGGCUAGUCCCCGGCAUGUAAGCGAAGAUUUCCUCGCCUUCGAAAGCUGCCGCUGCCUGCGUAUCUACGCCAGGGCGAUCGUCCAAGUCGCCGAGAAGAAGACAGUGAGAAGUUUUUCCACAGAACAUUGAUUACCCACCUGAGCCGUCACCGCUCAUUUAUUAUCUGAUCUACGGCGGCCUCUUUAUCCCCGCCGACGUGAAUCCUUCAUGUCCACAGCUGCCAACGCCGAGAACAAGAUGAAGAAGAGGAGGACGGCUGUGAGUAUCUAAGACUAUGAUCUUGUCCCGGUCGGUGGUGCCAUUCGGCUUGUUAUCUUUUCAUGGACUGAAGGCAUUAUUUUCACACGCGUUAAAAUCAGUGGCUUCAUGUGAAAUUAAUAUAUAUUAUAAAAAUUUUCAUGGGUUUGAUUUAAUGACAUCCUCGUGACUCAAUAUUAAUAGCAAUAUUAUCUCUAUAAAAAAUUUUAAUGAUUUUAAGGCAAUUAGUGAGGAAUUUAUCACAAAAUCAUCAAUAAAACGGAAUGCACUCUUGUCCUAUAAUAUGAUUCCCCUAUUGAAUUGAUGAUGCUUGGACGUAUUGCCUAGGCUAAAGCGGUCCAGGGAUUGUUAUUUUCUCAUUUGGGUAACCCACCUCAAACCCAAAUGACUACAAGUAUAUUAGGCAUGUCUUUAUAAUCAUCCAUUCAUAUUAAAAAUGUAAGCAAAUAUAAAACUAUUCACCGUUUAGCCGUUUCAUAAUCGGUCAGAAUUGGAAAAGGCUAAGUAAUUCGAGUUUAUCCAAGAUGACCCAGCUGUCAAAGUUCCAUAACCUUGGAUGGUUAAGCAAUGAUGUGAAGCUUGGUAAAAUGAUAAACGUGGAGUAAGUCGUGUUUGCUUUUCAAAGUGAAAUAAUGGAAUAGUAGAGCCAAAACAUUUAAACUUAUACGUGUUGUGAAACUGAAAGUCAUUUAAAUGUAGCAUCUAAUAUGUAAAUUGACCUGGUUAACAUGCACCGUUAGCCUCUACUCUAAGUCAGUUGACUCUCUUAUUAAUUAAUAAAAUUGAAAAUGUUAGCUUUGUAAAAAACAGAUCUUUAAAACAUAAAAAUGUUUUUUCAAAAGCUAUAAUAAAGUAUUGACAAUAUCUGUAAGGGCCACAUUAAUAUGUGGAUGUUUUUGUGAUGUAAAAUUACUAUUUUCCUAACUAUAUGUUUGAGGGUUAUCUUACCAAAAUAAUUAACUUCUUUCUUAGAAUGGUAUAUUGGUCAUCAUGGAUGUGUGGGUUCACUUAUUUUGUCACUAAAUACGUUGAAACUUCUGGUUAUACGGUGAUUCAACUCAAUUCAUUCAUGCAAUAGAAUGCCUUUAUAACUUUAUAGAAGUAAAAACAUAAAACUUACAAUUAAUUGAUUCGACCAAAUUUGAGUCUUUCUCACAACUUUUCAUAUGUUGUUCCUAAUUGAUCAAAGUAUUUCAAACUUAAAUUUAAAAUCUGAAUUUAGUAUUGUCCACUUAAUUUUUUUUUUCACCAUGAGUGUAAAAUAUUUUUGUACAGUUUUAAAAAUAUUUUCUAAACAUAAAUAAAUUUAGUGUAGAUCACUAUUUGAAAAAACUUUAGAAGUUUCAAUAGCGAGAAUACAAUGCAACGCCUAAUUCCAGAAUAAUCAUACACAUUGAUAUAUGAUUAAUUAUGUAGAACAAUAAAAAUGAGCCUAUUUACUAGAACAUCAGUAGGAGUCAUUGGGUUUCUCAUCAUUAUUAUAUCUAUCUAUAAUUAUGAGUGGGGUACAUUUACACUACUGAAGUUCUCACUGCAACUCUAACUUAGUUAACGACAACUUGAAUAGGCUCAUCUAAAUGACUAUGUCACCUCUUGCUCCAUGUCGUUCACAUCACAUCUACAAUGUUUGCAUUAGGUAGAUUCAUGGCAUCCAAGUGGGCAUAAUCUGGGUUAUAAUCAAGUUGACCCAUUAUUAUCAUCAUAAGUUCGAAUUUAAUUUGAUAUCUUGAGGGCAAGUUAACUUAGAUAUUAGUCCGCGAAGAUGAUCACAAAUUUAAUGUGUUUAGUCAAACAACGAAUAUUGAAUCUCAUUCCAUGGUAAAGCCAUCAUAUUGACUUAUGAUGCAUUUAUGAUCCUAUCUUUGAGACGUAAUGUGACCAAUAGCGAUGGUGGGCCCCCCUUUCUGGCGGGCCUCUCUUAUUUUGGGCUCCUGGUGUUCAGAUCAGCCGAGUCAAACUGGGUCUCGAUUAGUGGAGCAUCUCACACCCGAUUUCGGUCGCUAUGCGGUGCUCAAGAUCCAGAUCUGGGCUUUUCAUUUUUGGGCCGGGCUCUUCAGUUUGGGCCUCCAUUUGUGGGCUGAGAAGAACCACUAGAAGCCCACAAAAAUAACCUUAUGCGACGUGAGGUCGUUUUAGAGACAUCAGGGUCUUCUUCUUCCCCGUCGGGAUUUCCAUGAAAACAGAGCAUCGAAGGAGGUGGAGCACAGGAGGAAGAAGACGGAGAUGGAGGCUCGAUGGGUGGUCCUCUGUGACUAGUGCGGAUGGUUGGGGCUGUUCAUGGAUAGAAUGCCGAGGAAAUUGGCCCAUAAUUCUUGGUCACCGGCGUGAAGCUCGUCCUCCGGCGACGGCCUCCGGCCGCCGCACACGGCGGCGGGCCAACGCCGACUUUCCUCGCGAACCUCCCUCUGACGCGUGGCCGGACUUCCGACAGCGUCUUCCUGCACGCGUACUGGUCCGAAAAAGAGGUCCGGAAGAAGCAGAGGGAGGAGGAAAGAGGAGAGGGGAAGAAGAGAAGGGGGAGCGAUCGUCACCGUGAUCUUAUUCUGGAAGCUUCUCUGGUUCCGCUUACUUCUGUACUCGUCGAUUCUCUCUUUCCUCUCCUGGGCGCUGUACCGCCCAACUCUCCCGCUACCAGCAGCGGCUGUCGCCGUCGCCGGCGGCCAAUCUCCGGCCGUUUCCCGCUUGCUGAUCUCCUGUACAGAGAGAAACGCCUCGAGAGAGGAAGACAAUUGGACGGACAAGUUCCCGCCGGCGCCGGAAGGGAACGACGCCAUCCGCGGGGGCGGCGCCGCGGACGUUGUGGGCUGACGAGCUCGGGCACUGGGCCAUGGCGGGGGAGCGGGACGAAGAAGACGACAGCUGUUGCAGAGAGUGCGUGGGAUGAUGGCGACGAUGAAGGUGCGGGCCGUUUUGACGAUGACAUGCGAGAGAGAGAGAGAGAGAGAUUAGCCGAAUUUAUUUUUAAAAUAAAUAGAUAUUUGAAAAAAGAUAUUUAGGAGCAGGGAAGAAAUUGGUUUUUGAUUUUUUUGUAAAAUAAUUUCACGGGGCCAGCUCUACAGGUCGAGACAAAGGCCGGGGAUCUCGGUGGUUCUCGGCAUCUUGCUCCUCCUCGGACGAUCUGGGCGGGAAAGCGGUGGCAGACGACGACGGCGACGGGGACGGCGGUGGCGGUGGCAAGGCAUAGAAGAGCAGGCUAGGGUUGAGCAGCAUGGGGGAAGAGGGGCUCUCUCCCCGCCCCGUCAUCGAGCACAGGACCUACGCGAGGGUGGGGCUGCUGGGGAAUCCCAGCGACGUCUACUUCGGAAGGACCAUCUCCUUCUCCCUCGGCAAUUUCUGGGCGUCCGUCCGUCUCGAGCCCUCUCGGGAGCUCGUCAUCAGGCCGCAUCCCGUGCACGACUUCGUCUCCUUCGACUCCAUUGAUCAGCUGGUUCGUCGGUCCCUACCUCUCAGAUCUUGAUCUACUAGCCCCGCGUACUCUCGUCAGCGCUCUCUGCCAGAUCAAGGGGCACAUUCAUUCCAUUUAUGCUCACAUUUUUAUUGAUCGGACAUUUUACCGUAGUUUGGGCAACCGCCUGUACUCUAUAGAGUUUGCCUUCACAAUCUGUCAGCGAUCUACUUCUGCCGAUUUUUCAAUUUUUUCCACGACUGUUCUUAUGUUUUCCCGGACAGAUUUUUUGAGAAUUCGGUCAACAUUUCGAUCAAGUAUGUGAUUGACUGUAAGAUAAUGGUGCCUCAACGCAGAUGAGCCCUAGAUCUGAAUUCCCAUGUAUUUUACGGCUAGAAUGUUUGAUUUGAACGGAAAAUGGAGAAAAAAAUUUACGCAGAUGAAGCAUCUGAUCGUUACACGCCUCCCUCUCCUUCCUUACUAAGAAGCCUCUGUUGCAGCUUCAAGCUACCAAGAGCAUUGCAUAGAGACAACCCCUAGCGGCCAUCUGGUUGUAGAUUAAUCCUUUUUUUAUAAAUUAAGCCCUCAUCAGGUACCUUCAAUGCUGAUUUCUUCUUAUUUACUUAUAGCAGUCGUAUAUACAAAAUGCUGCAGCCAUAUCCAGUAAUGUUCCUGUUUAUAUAUUUUAGGGUGCAGAAAAUUCAUCCAAUUGAUGCGACUGAUGCAAUUCUAUUGAUUGACCACAGUAGGCUCUGAUGCCAGAAAAUCCAGAAUUUCUUCAGUGAUCAAAUCCCAUUCCCCUGAUAAUCUUCAUAUCCCGUCACCCAAAUAGCAGUUGAAGAACAUACGGCCAUUCUCUCUCUCUCUGUGCCUCUGUCUCUGUGUCUCUGUGUCUCUGUCUCUCUCUCUCUUAUUGCUGCUUGGUGUUCAUCUACGUGCCCUUCAUCUUGCAGGUGAAUCGGUUGGAGAGUGAAGGCUAUUACGGAGGAGUGCGUCUGCUUAUGUCCAUCUGCAAAGUCUUCCGCAAAUACUGCAGGGACAAGCAAAUAAAUCUGAAAGGGGGAAACUUUACCCUGUCUUAUGAAACCAACAUCCCUCGCCAGGUGAGCAUCCUCUGGAACUAAUCAGCAGAGCUUUGGGGAACAAUAGGGGUGCUUUCUCUUUCUAAAAAAGGGAAUUGGGUCAGUUGAUCAGUCUGUGGUGUUCUUAGCUUUGUGCUCUAGUCUGCUUGUUAAUCUCGAAUUCGUCUAAAUUAUUUAAUAAAUAAAUCUAUGUGCAUUUAUGUAUAUAUAUAUAUUUAUACACGUAAAUGGCAGUUUGAGGAGUAUGCCAAUUAGGUUCGUUGAAACUAUUUUCUUCUGAUAUUUUCUUGUCAAUCUUUCCGAUGUUGUCAUUGAUUUUAUCUCAGUAUUUAUGUUUCCCACUAAUAUAAUUCUAUUGGGAUUCUCAUUAUCAUUAGUUGACCGUGAGGUAAAUUUAAGGUAAUUUAGUGAUAGCUUGGUACACAAUAGAAUUCCCGAUAGAAUUCAGUGAUAGCUUGAUAACUCAGAUCAGAAAGCAUGCUGGGAAUUUGUUCGCCGUUGACUAUUAUUUUUUCUCUUUUUGGCAUCUUCAGACAGGACUUUCGGGUUCCAGUGCCAUAAUUUGCGCCGCUCUGAACUGUCUCCUGGACUUUUACCAAAUCAGGCAUCUGGUGAGCGUCGAGAUCCGGCCCCAGCUGAUCCUGAGCGCAGAAAACGAGCUCGGAAUCGUCGCCGGCCUUCAGGACAGGGUGGCUCAGGUCUACGGUGGACUCGUCUACAUGGUACUACGUUUUAUACGCCGUCUUCAGCCCUUCGUCAUCUCCCCGCCAUUCUCCGAGAAAGUCAACGAUUCUUGAUCCAUUCAUUCAGGAUUUUAGCAAGGAACACAUGGAUAAAUUGGGCCAUGGAAAGUACUUCCCCAUGGACGUCGGUCUUCUUCCUCCUCUCCAUCUGAUCUACGCUGAAAAUCCAAGUGACUCUGGCAAGGUCUGUCCUCUCCACAGAAAUGUAGAAGCCAUGGAUCGCUGAGCUUCACUGUUCGUCGUCCGAGAUAUCUGUUUGGAGUCGUCCCAGCGGGGCCAUGAAAGGGGACUUCCAUAUCUUCUGAUCUCAUUCCGCAGAACUUCCGGUGGCAGGUACACAGCUCUGUUCGCAAGCGAUGGCUGGACGGCGACCAGUUCAUAAUAUCCUCCAUGGAAGAGGUCGCCAACAUCGCUCUCGAAGGUCGCGCCGCUCUGACGGAGAAGAACUACGAAGAACUCGCAAGACUCAUGAACCGCAACUUCGAUCUGCGCAGGUCCGAUUGCCGCCUCUCUUACUCUCCCUCUCUGGCUUCCGGAACACCGAUCUUGCUUCUGAUCGGGGGAAGCGUUCUUGACACCGGUGCGGCGAUCUGGAUCUUCGCAGGAAGAUGUUCGGGGACGACGUUCUCGGAUCGGUGAACAUAAGGAUGAUCGAGACGGCCAGAAGCAUCGGCGCGGCGGCGAAGUUCACCGGCAGCGGCGGCGCAGUGGUCGCCUUCUGCCCCGAGGGACCGGCGCAGGUGGAGCUCCUGGAGGACGCUUGCCGGCGGGCGGGCUUCCUCGUCCAGCCGGUCGCCGUCGUCCCUUCAGUCCUCCGUGACGAGGACCUCGAAACCCUGUCGACCUGACGAUCUCUGAGGCAGUGAUCAUAAUUUGACACGUGUACCUUUUAUAUGGUUAUUUCGUGCUGUGCUUUUAAUUUUUUUCUAUUUUUUAAAAGAACACUUUUUUGGAUACUUUCUGCUUUAAUUUUUAAUUUUUUUUCUAAUUAAAUUAUUUUUAUGAAAGCUACUUUUGAAAUAUUUAUGGAAAAUAAGAUAAACAUAUUUUUAAUUUUUUCUAGCGAAUUACGCGGAAUGUACCCACCACGGUUUUCCUUAGUGAAGCUAAGAGGUACGAGCUAGAGAGAAGAGAGAGAGAGAGAGAGAGAGAGAGAGAGAGAGAGAGAGAGAGAGAGAGACGACGACGUACACNNNNNNNNNNNNNNNNNNNNGAGAGAGAGAGAGAGCCACGUCAUCGAUCCAGGAUUUAACGCAUUGACGAUCGGCCGUUCAUCGCACUUAAUCAACGGUCAGGAGUGCAUUUGGAAACGUUACGAGGAUCCGAGUGGCCCCCGGUUGCUCGAUCGGUAACACUAUAAAUGCUGCCUCCCUAUCCCCUUGACGAGCAGCGACUUUUUCUGUUAUCUUCGUGGUCUCCAGUCCAGAGGCUCCUUGUUGAAGGUGGAGGGAGGGAUUCUAGGGUUAGGGUUUCUGAGAUACAAUGUCCGGCAGGGGGAAGGGAGGCAAGGGCCUGGGCAAGGGUGGCGCCAAGCGCCAUCGCAAAGUGCUUAGGGACAACAUCCAGGGCAUCACAAAGCCGGCGAUCCGGAGGCUGGCGAGGAGGGGAGGAGUUAAGCGCAUCAGCGGGCUGAUCUACGAGGAGACGAGGGGCGUCCUCAAGAUCUUCCUCGAGAACGUCAUUCGCGACGCUGUCACCUACACGGAGCACGCCCGCCGGAAGACCGUCACCGCCAUGGACGUCGUGUACGCCCUCAAAAGGCAGGGCCGGACGCUCUACGGAUUCGGUGGUUAAGAGAUUUGUGCUAUGAAAAGUCUUGCUGUCAAGAAAAUUUCAGGGGGGGAAACUGGUGGGGGGAAGGGACGGGAGCUGAGGAGGGAGGGAAAAUUGUAGGGCGGGGUUCUCAUCGACGGGAAGUAGAUUUCUAGACUUCAACCUGUUUCUCUCUCAUCUUCGAUUCGACUCCCCACUAUAAUAUAUUUACAUUCCAUCUCGUUUUCCGUCUAAGUCUUGUUAGAGUCUGAUCUUUGUGGUGCAAUCUUCUCGUUCUGUUCUGUAUUUCCGGUUGAUGACGAGCGUUUGCGAUGCGUGAUGUCUAAUCCUUCUGGAUUAGAGUUCCAAAUGUGGGAUCAGCCAUUGGCGUUCGUACAAUUUAUUAUAUCGAGGCCUCGGUAAAAUAUAACUGUAAUCGAUAUUCAUACUAUUAUCAAGCCUAUUCUUGCCAAAAAUUGUGUAUUGAAUCGCAUGCUUUCUGGGUGUCAUCCCACCAAUCGCGACGUGAAAGUUAAUAAUUUCUUCAAAAAUUUCAACUUCUGAGACAAAUUUCUUAAUCAACCGAAAAUCUCUAGAGUUCAAUUGCGUGAACUUUAUUAAUUUUGAAAGGAAAAACUAGUGUUCACGUCAUGAAAUUCGUAUAUUAAUGUGAGAAUUUCCCUUCGGCGGGAGGUGGCUGGCUGGCAGGGAGGAGGGGAAAGGGUUGUAGAGCAUGGAGAAGCUCUUCCUGGAGGAUCUCCGGCUCCUCCGCCAAGAUGCGUUCAUCGAUUCUCCUUCACCACUUCGAGGGUUGUUCUCCUGCCGUGCCAUAAUCUGCAACCCCGCCUCUUCCGAACUCGCCUUGCGCUCCGUUUUCGACGCCAUCGUCCACUAUCUGGGACGCGAUCCUUCCCCACCCCUCCUCCGCCCCGCGGUGAAGCUGCUCGCCGACGUUGUCGUUCUUCACCCCGCUCUCUCGCCCUCCGUGGUUGGCGCCGUGCGGCCGCUCCUGAGUUCUGGCAAACGUCCCGCCGCGGAAGCCCUGGCUGUUCUAGUUUCCGCGGCGCAGAGCGGCGGCGAAGGCUCGUCUAUAGUCAGGUCGGUGAUGCGGGAAGACAUCAUCCUCUCUCUCGCCUCCAGUCGUGCAGUGGCCGUCCGUUCGCAGCUUCUCAGAUUGUUGGCUCUCGAAGCGCACCAUGUCCGUGAAAUGAGCUCUGCCGACGGCCGACUAGUCGCUGUGCUCCGCGUGUUCUUGGGCCUCACCGCCGACCUGCACCCCUCCGUAAGGAGUGCGGCUCUCGAAGGCUUGCUCGUGUUCUGCAAGAAUGCCGUCGCGUGGAUGGAGGUCUCGGUGAUGCAGAGAUGCUACGACGUUGGGGUCGAGCUCCUUCACGACGUCGACGUGUUCGUCAAAAUGUCUGCCAUUCGACUGGUAUUGCUUCAUCUCUGAUCUUAGUCCGCCGUGCUCUUCAACCUCAGUUCCCGUCGGUUACAUAUUCUCAUUAAUGACCUUCUUAUGGCACUGGUGAUAGCUGUCACCCUUGUUGCCAUCGCUCUUGAUCAUAUCCAUUUUCACAGAGAUUUCCGGCUGUCUUUUUUCUUUAGGUGUCUGGGUUGGGUCAGAUGCUGGUGGCGACGAAGCAGGGGACAGACAAUAGCAAGUUUUCAGACGCACAGUUCCUUAGGGUAUUCUUCAGAUGGUAGCUCUGGGCUGGAUUUUCUCUUUAAUUAUUUUUGUUCUUGAACUUCAACCAGAUGCCAUUAAAAGAAACCUCCAAGUCAUUUGAUGGAUAUUUCCAUCGCGGUAUCUUGCCUGGUAUAAUUAAUUGGCAUCUCCCAGAGAUGUUGUUCACAGUUAACAAUAGAUGAUAGAUGGUUUCGUUUUCAUUUAAAACUGGGAUCCUGCUUUGGCUCCAGGAGAUACUGAAAAGAUUAUCAAGAACUCUUCAUUUUGAACAUAUUUUUUGCUACAAAAGUCAACCUUUCUUAGACAAAUCUUCUUCGUCGUUUUUACAUCUUCAUGCAUAACAUUUUAUAAGGUUCAAAUAAUCGUUAUGGGCCUUUUUAUUUCGUCCUCAAUUCCUUAACAUGGGCUUCGUAAUUUGAUAGAGAUUUACCUCUUGCAGCUAUGUUCAUCUGCCAGAGACAUGGAUAUGAGGGUCAGAGUUGAAGUUUUUCUCUCACUUGAAAAGAUAAAGCUGGUGUCGGAGAGUGUGCUGCUACAGUCUUUGUCUAAGAAAGUGAAGAAGGGCAACAGUGGAGGAAAAUCUCUAGCUGAAUUCAGUGAGGAAGGAUGUGGGCUACCAAUAUCUUGUGCUGCUGGUGUAUUUCUUCAGGGUCUGGAGGAUGAAUUCCACGAGGUAUAUUGAUACUCGUGAAUUUAUCUUCCUCCUUUGCCGUCCCAAAUAUCGCCACCUUUAUCAUAUCACUAGUUUUCUUGGCAUCUAGGUUUAUUUUCUUUAUUAUUAUUUUUAAUUUUUACAAAAAUGAAUUUUCUGACCGGAUGCAUCACUGUCGAAGGUCCGAAGAGCUGCAUGUUUUUCCUUGGGGACGCUUACAAUUUUAUCUGCCAAAUUUGCCGACAAUGCCUUGGACUUUCUAAUGGACAUGCUGAACGACGAGUCUGAUGCUGUUCAACUUCAGGCGCUGCAAACAUUACUUCAAAUGGCGAGGAAUGACAAUAUGAAAGUGCAAGAAAGGCACAUGCAUAUGGUUCGCUCCUGAACUGCUCUUGGAUUGGAUGAACAAAAUAAUUAACAGUGCAAACCUUAGUUCUGAAUCAUAGAUUUCGCCCGCCCUACUUCUUUCCUCUUUUUAGUCGGAUUUAUUGCUGUUUUUCUAUUUUAUGCCAAGAACAAACUUCUGUGCUUUUAUAAACCUUUUGUUGACUAUGUUCGCAACCACUAGAAAAUUAUCUGGCAUUUAGUGCUGCAAUUGAUAUUAUUGGCGGUAUCUGUAGGUUCACAUAUGACUCAGCGAUGCUUUUUUUCUUUUUAUUGAUCUAGCAACUUGGAGUAUACUAAAAGUAAUUUCAUGCGCUGGAGGCCGCUUUUGACUGGGAGUCAAAGAGAAGCAAUCUGAUGUUUACAUAGCUUGUUAUGCUACAUUCUAUAAUGUUUAUAGUUAUUUAGAACGGUGGUGAAGAGUUUUCCGUAUACAUGGUAUCAUUAACCCUAUGAAUUUUUCGAUAUAGUGCUGCACAUUAGAAACUAUUUUUUUCAGUUGAUAUAUUAUUUGAUAUGGCGAAUGUGAUGUUCUUCGUGUAAUCUCUGACUUGUAGUAAAAUGGCGAAGGAUUACUUAUCUCCGUGGAGAUGAAAUUUUUGCUCCUCUGAAGAUUCGAAUUUCUUCAAUAAAUGAACUAAAUCUCACAUCUGAUAAUGCUCAAGAUGGGAAGAAGCCUGUAAAUUUUCUCGUAGGUUUCUCUGAUUUCACAUUUAUGUUAUGUUCCCGUACUGUUGGAUACUGAUCAACCCUUAAUCAUCUAUGGUGUCUUUAAGUAAUGCCUCUGCUUGUGUUCUCCCCGGCAUUGAAUAUGAUUUCAUAUCUGCACGAUAUGUUUCUCUAGUUGUGGAUGUUGUGAUGAACUUGAUCAUCUGCAUCACUUGGUACUCAUUAAUGAAAGUCUCAAAACUCUGUUUUCCUGAUUAUUAGUUGUACACGUUCAACUUAUGGCCUCUGUUGUCCGUGCAGUUUCUUGGGACUUUAGCCAAUAGUAGUGCUCCAAUCCGAUGUGCAGCAAGGAACGUUCUUAGGUCAACAAGGUUGCCAAGUAUGGCGUUAUUCAGGUUGUCAGUCAACGGGCUCCUUGGGAACUUGGAGGCAUAUGGAGAGGUUCGAGCCUCCUUUGCCCUCACUAAUGUGGGUUAAUUUUGUGCCACUAAGAUUCCUAUCUUUUAAUAAAAUUGUCUUCUAAUGCGUGUGUACCCUGUAUGAUUAUGUUUAUCGUUCCUUUUAGCCUGCUAUUAUCCUCAUUAUUUAAGCUUUUAUUUUUUAGAAUUUCCCCUUGCAGUUCUAUCCAUGUUCAGAACACGAACCAUUAUUUUCUCACACUUAAACUCCUGUGUCAGUCUUCUCUCUCUCUCUCUCUCUCUCUCUCUCUCUCUCUCUCUCUCUGUGUGGCUGGCUCCCUUUGAACUGAAAGCUACUGGUGAUCUUUUGAAUCCAGUCUUCGAUAGUUAUUUUCUCAAAGGCUUGGUUCCAGUUUAGUCUGGCUCUGUUCGAUAGUCCAUUCCUUUCAUUAAUAAUGCUCUCUCUCUCUCUCUCUCUCUCUCUCUCUCUGUGGAUUACCAGCCUGUGGGUUUUCUUCGUAACACUGUUUCACCACCCAGGAUGAAGAAGACAUACUCGCUGCCCUUUUUUGCAUCGGCAAGGCCCACGGAGACCUCGCAGCUAGAAUCACGGAAGAAUACGCACAAGAGGUAACCACCCUCUCUCUCUCUCUCGCUCGAUAUAUAUAUAUAUAUAUAUGUUCUACAUCCCUUGGCCGAUAAACCAUGUCUGAAGGUCUUCUGCCAUGGUGGUGAUUAAGUAAAUAUCCCAACUUCCUUCUGCAAAUCUCAGAUUUACUCGAUUAAUCGCGGGUUAUAAUUAUUUUCUUCUCUCCCUUCAGAUAGAACCUCCAGGCCAUGGGGAAAUGAACCUCGACAGGCCUCGAGUUGCUGCUCUUGUGGUCCUGGGCAUCUCCCCAUCUUUAUCCGGCGAGGAGUUGACUCAGACGGUGCCAGCUAGGAUGUUCUCUUAUGCGGUUCCAUUAUUGGGCAGGAUCUCACGCUCUUUGAAAGAUUUUAUGAGCCAGGAUACUCUUUUAUGCUUUUUAUGCAGGCGCAGUGGACUUCCCUUCUUAGAGGCAGAGUCAACGUCUGAGGAGCCUCAGGUACGGCGGCAUGCAUCGUUGUAGGCGUAAUUUAGGAAAGUCUUGUUGAGCCUGGUGAGUUGACCUCCCUUGUUGGCCAGUUUCAGACGGGAGGAACUGAGAUGCUGAUCCUCUCUGCUGUCCGCCGAACUCUCAAGAGGGCCGCAGAGGCCUGGCAUAUGAUCAAGGCCCACGCCACCCGUGAUGCAGUGGAGACUCUAAGGUGUUGACCUCUGAACUCGAAUCAUCGUGCCCAUGAUGCCCACGUGGCAUCCGCAGGAUCUCUACCUUCUGGUCAACAAAUGGAGUGAAGAUUUGUUCUCUUAUGCAGUGCCUGCAAGGAGGAGCUGGAGAUGGUUGACCAGAGCUGCAAUGAGGCUUCCGCGGCCUGCUUGGUCUUCUCCCUGGAAUACGUUCAGGUACUCCGGCUGGUAGCCGAGGUGUGGGAACAAAUGCAGCCCAAGGAGCCACAUGUCAUGAGAAUGAGGAAAUUAGAUCUUCUUCUGGAAAAACUGGAAGUCAACGUUGCAAGCAUGAGAUGCUGCUUUCUGGGGUUGGCCAAGGCGGCGGAGUCACAUCUGCUAGAGCUCUCCCUGCUUCAGUGUGUCAUGAGAUUAUCUACAAUUGGAACCCAGGAAGCCCCGAUCUUGAGGAAGAUGAGGUUUCUGAUCUCUAGAUUAGAGCAGCUGGUCGCUGAAGAAAAAUCUGAUCUUUCUGCUUUUGUCAAGGAGUUAAGAAACUUCUGUUCUCAAGGGUCAACUCGCAUCGUUGACUUACUGGAACUCUGCAGCUUGGAUCAAAUGGAGUUGAGCGGAGGACGACUCAGACGCCGAAAGGCUGAGCUUCGAUCUCGAGCUGAUGAUUCUGACCAGCUCCCUCUCCCCUUCGUUCCAGGGCUGCCCGUUGGGAUCCCACUUGAUAUUACUCUGCAUAACAUCUCAAGCGAUGAUAGGGUGUGGCUCAGGAUGACUGCCAGCGGGUCAACGCAGUAUGCCUUUCUAAGCUUGGACAGAUUUGACGGCUCCGAUGUGGAGAGAAGAUGCGCCGCCGACGUACCAUUUUAUGCUACUCCGACGGUCCCCUUUCUUCUGAAGGCCAGUGUCUGCUUGGAGUGCUCCCGAGGGUAUCUGACGCGGAAGAGUAAAAGUCAACGGGGUCCGAGACGUGAAACCGUAGAUCUAUGUGAAGAGAUGGAGAUUUAUCUUGCCGAAUUUGGUCAGACUGUGUUCUGAAUAUAGUCAUAAGGUCUUCUCCCUCCAAUAGAUUUCCGCCAGGUAGACUCUGUUCCUCGAGAUCGAUCGGCUUCUCACUCUAGUUUUCUUGUUUUCUCUCUCAUUAAUUUGCCCAACUACCAGGUCAAUCUCAGUUUUUUGACGGUUGGUUUCCUUCGGCAGGAUUGUGGCAGUCGCCGGAGCACGAGUCGCCGGGGGUGGUCAACGCCGCCGUCGGCCGCCUCUCCGUGGCGGCGAGGGGUAUGGUCAGAAGAGCACGCACCAGAAUAGCCUGUCGAGAAGCAAAAAUUACGGUCUUGGGAAAGGUCUUCCGGAAAAGAAGGCGGUGGCGGUCUUCUCUUUGACUGUGCCGUUACGGCGGCGCUUGCUCUCGACUUUAAGAAGGGAAGAGCAACGGAAGGAGGGGGCCCCGAGAGAGAUGGGUACCCGUUAUUGCAGGUCACCCGCCGUCGCCGCUCCGCCGCCGGCGAGGGCGACGUACGUGACCCUGUACAGGUGGCCGGAGUCGGACGCCGAGUUCGUCAGGUCCGUCGGCAGCGGCGGCGGCGCUCCGCCGCGGAGGCCUGCGCUGCGCCACCAGCCGCCUGUUGUGGACGGGUACUCGUGCCGGCAGAUGUACCUGCGGAGCUACACCUUCUCCAAGAGGGAGACCCUGCCGGAGCGGGCCAGGAAGUGCCUCGUCAAGGUAAAGGAGAGCGUCGCCGGCGCCGCAGUUUCCGCCUCCUGUGGCUUCGCCGGCCGCCGUACGAAGGCGGAGAAGAAGUGCCCGCCGCUCGCCGCCGCCGCCCUGAACUCCAUCUCCCGCCGGCUCCUCUCCUGCACCGCCAGCCUCAACGUCGCCGUUCAGUAAGAGAGAGAGAGAGAGAGAGAGAGAGAGAGAGNNNNNNNNNNNNNNNNNNNNNNNNNNNNNNNNNNNNNNNNNNNNNNNNNNNNNNNNNNNNNNNNNNNNNNNNNNNNNNNNNNNNNNNNNNNNNNNNNNNNNNNNNNNNNNNNNNNNNNNNNNNNNNNNNNNNNNNNNNNNNNNNNNNNNNNNNNNNNNNNNNNNNNNNNNNNNNNNNNNNNNNNNNNNNNNNNNNNNNNNNNNNNNGAGAGAGAGAGAGGUACAAUCGUUCAGAUAAUAAGACUUCAAGGGUUCUGUUUGUCAUACUGGGAUGCCGACGACUGCUUCCUUCUUGAUUUCCCCUGUUUCUUCUGAGAUGUUGUCGCCCCAGAGUUCAACACUCUAUCUCUCUCUUCUCUCUACCGGUCGGCGGCUCCGGCGCCGGCGCCAGCAGGGGAAUCUACUUUGGGUAAAGCAAACAGGGGUCGUCUCUGCGGUCAACAGUCACCCCACUUCAAGGUUCGAUCUUUAUGCUUUUGGGCUCUCCCUCUGCCAGCCGUCUGCUCAGACCUGAAGGCCGCCGGCGGCACCGCCGCCUCUGCCGCCGGAGGUGUGGGUCCCAUACCGCAAAUAUAGGGCCCAUAAAGCCCAAUAUCUCCCGCUGGGCGGAGGCCCAGUAUAACCGCUCAGCCUUCUUUAACCCUCCGUCAGGUCACGUCGUUUGCUUCGAAUCCCCGCGAAUAACGUCACCUCUAGGUUUCGGCAACGUGGCCCAUUUAAGAGCGCAGCAACCUAAUGUAUCUUCCAGAAAGUUCUGCUAAUCGUGUGCCAAAGCGAAAAAGAGCCAACCAAUCAGAUGGCCCGUUGUACGUCACCAGCAACGGCUAUCGCCGCAGGAGCCGCCACGUCAGCGAUGUCGCAGCCAAUAAACUGCGCGAUCAAGGGGGGCGGUCGGACGGAGGAUUUUCCUUUUGGGGAAUCUCGCCUCGCGAGGGGGACAGCAGGAGGUCGACGUCGGCCUCUGGAUGCUGCGGACCAGGGCGGGGAGGCUGUUGCAGUGGCGGGGCGAAGGGGGAGGGGAGGGUGGCCGGAUCCUGGAGGGCGGAAAUCGAGCCUGCUGUUCAAGUCUCUAUCGAUUAGUGUCUUUGUUCGUAGGGAUCUGCAUCGGGGACGAUCUUGGUCGCCAUCUCUUUAGUGUUUCCAGCAGGAGAUUGCUUUUGGGUGCAGGAGGCGUGUAUCUGAAGGUAUAGUUGGAGAAUCUGUUGCUUCUCAUCUUCGGACGAAGGUUGGUUCGUUGCGGAGAGUGGAUUCGGCGUCAUGGGAAGGGGGACCCAAGAUCCAGUUAACGGUGAGGCCGGGC
rnacentral:lncRNA from 1 species